rnacentral:lncRNA from 1 species
AGGCCAAGUUCUGCAGCGAGAACGCGGCGCAGGCGCUGCACCUCGGGGAGCGCAUGCAAGAGGCUAAGAAGCUGCUGGGCUCCCUGCAGCUCCUCUUUGACAAGACAGAGGACGUCAGCUUCAUGAAGGUGGGACUGGGGCCCCGCUCCGCACAGCCCUGCUCCCCAGCUGCUUUCAAACCAGGGUGCUCAUCUCCCUUCCUCUUUAGGGCCAGCCUGCAUGGGCAAGUCAUAGAUGCUUCCUGAGCCUUGACUACCAGUCUGCCUUCAUAUAUCUGCU